GAUGAACGCUGGCGGCGUGCCUAAUACAUGCAAGUCGAGCGAACAGACGAGGAGCUUGCUCCUCUGACGUUAGCGGCGGACGGGUGAGUAACACGUGGAUAACCUACCUAUAAGACUGGGAUAACUUCGGGAAACCGGAGCUAAUACCGGAUAAUCUAUUGAACCGCAUGGUUCAAUAGUGAAAGACGGUUUUGCUGUCACUUAUAGAUGGAUCCGCGCCGCAUUAGCUAGUUGGUAGGGUAACGGCCUACCGAGGCAACGAUGCGUAGCCGACGGGAGAGGGGGGUCGGCGGCACGGGAGGGGGGACGGGGUCCGGGCGCCUGCGGGAGGGAGCAGUAGGGAAUGGUCCGCAGUAGGCGAAAACAUUGCGGAGCAACGCCGCGUGAGUGAUGGAGGUCUUCGGAUCGUAAAACUCUGUUAUUAGGGAAGAACAAAUGUGUAAGUAGCUAUGCACGUCUUGACGGUACCUAAUCAGAAAGCCACGGCUAACUACGUG
rnacentral:rRNA from 1 species